rnacentral:rRNA from 1 species
UACGAAGGGGGCUAGCGUUGCUCGUAAUCACUGGGCGUAAAGGGUGCGUAGGCGGGUCUUUAAGUCAGGGGUGAAAUCCUGGAGCUCAACUCCAGAACUGCCUUUGAUACUGAGGAUCUUGAGUUCGGGAGAGGUGAGUGGAACUGCGAGUGUAGAGGUGAAAUUCGUAGAUAUUCGCAAGAACACCAGUGGCGAAGGCGGCUCACUGGCCCGGUACUGACGCUGAGGUGCGAAAGCGUGGGGAGCAAACAGG